rnacentral:rRNA from 1 species
CCUACGGGUGACAGCAGUGAGGAAUAUUGGUCAAUGGGCGCGAGCCUGAACCAGCCAAGUAGCGUGAAGGAUGACUGCCCUACGGGUUGUAAACUUCUUUUAUAAAGGAAUAAAGUGAGGCACGUGUGCCGUUUUGUAUGUACUUUAUGAAUAAGGAUCGGCUAACUCCGUGCCAGCAGCCGCGGUAAUACGGAAGGUCCGAGCGUUAUCCGGAUUUAUUGGGUUUAAAGGGAGCGUAGAUGGGUUGUUAAGGCUGUUGUGAAAGUUUGCGGCUCAACCGUAAAAUUGCAAUGGAUACUGGCUGUCUUGAGUACAGUUAAGGUAGGCGGAAUUCGUGGUGUAGCGGUGAAAUGCUUAGAUAUCACGAAGAACUCCGAUUGCGAAGGCAGCUUACUAAACUGCCACUGACAUUGAUGCUCGAAAGUGUGGGUAUCAAACAGGAUUAGAUACCCUAGUAGUC